GUGAGGAAUAUUGGUCAAUGGACGGAAGUCUGAACCAGCCAAGUAGCGUGCAGGAUGACGGCCCUAUGGGUUGUAAACUGCUUUUAUGCGGGGGUAAAGUGAGUGACGUGUCAUUCAUUGCAAGUACCGCAAGAAUAAGGACCGGCUAAUUCCGUGCCAGCAGCCGCGGUAAUACGGAAGGUCCUGGUGUUAUCCGGAUUUAUUGGGUUUAAAGGGAGCGUAGGCCGUCAGGCAAGCGUGUUGUGAAAUGUCGUGGCUCAACCAUGGACUUGCAGCGCGAACUGCCCGACUUGAGUGCGCAGAAAGCAGGCGGAAUUUGUGGUGUAGCGGUGAAAUGCUUAGAUAUCACGAAGAACCCCGAUUGCGAAGGCAGCCUGCUGUAGCGCUACUGACGCUGAAGCUCGAAAGUGCGGGUAUCGAACAGGAUUAGAAACCCCUGUAGUCC
rnacentral:rRNA from 1 species